UCGAACGGCAGCACGGACUUCGGUCUGGUGGCGAGUGGCGAACGGGUGAGUAAUGUAUCGGAACGUGCCCAGUAGCGGGGGAUAACUACGCGAAAGCGUAGCUAAUACCGCAUACGCCCUACGGGGGAAAGCAGGGGAUCGCAAGACCUUGCACUAUUGGAGCGGCCGAUAUCGGAUUAGCUAGUUGGUGGGGUAACGGCUCACCAAGGCGACGAUCCGUAGCUGGUUUGAGAGGACGACCAGCCACACUGGGANUGAGACACGGCCCAGACUCCUACGGGAGGCAGCAGUGGGGAAUUUUGGACAAUGGGGGAAACCCUGAUCCAGCCAUCCCGCGUGUGCGAUGAAGGCCUUCGGGUUGUAAAGCACUUUUGGCAGGAAAGAAACGUCGCGGGUUAAUACCUCGCGAAACUGACGGUACCUGCAGAAUAAGCACCGGCUAACUACGUGCCAGCAGCCGCGGUAAUACGUAGGGUGCAAGCGUUAAUCGGAAUUACUGGGCGUAAAGCGUGCGCAGGCGGUUCGGAAAGAAAGAUGUGAAAUCCCAGAGCUUAACUUUGGAACUGCAUUUUUAACUACCGGGCUAGAGUGUGUCAGAGGGAGGUGGAAUUCCGCGUGUAGCAGUGAAAUGCGUAGAUAUGCGGAGGAACACCGAUGGCGAAGGCAGCCUCCUGGGAUAACACUGACGCUCAUGCACGAAAGCGUGGGGAGCAAACAGGAUUAGAUACCCUGGUAGUCCACGCCCUAAACGAUGUCAACUAGCUGUUGGGGCCUUCGGGCCU
rnacentral:rRNA from 1 species